UCCAGACUCCUACGGGAGGCAGCAGUGGGGGAUAUUGCACAAUGGGGGAAACCCUGAUGCAGCGACGCCGCGUGGGUGAAGAAGUAUUUCGGUAUGUAAAGCCCUAUCAGCAGGGAAGAAAGAAGACGGUACCUGACUAAGAAGCCCCGGCUAACUACGUGCCAGCAGCCGCGGUAAUACGUAGGGGGCGAGCGUUAUCCGGAUUCACUGGGUGUAAAGGGAGCGUAGACGGCCGUGCAAGCCAGGAGUGAAAGCCCGGGGCCCAACCCCGGGACUGCUCUUGGAACUGUGCGGCUGGAGUGCGGGAGGGGCAGGCGGAAUUCCUGGUGUAGCGGUGAAAUGCGUAGAUAUCAGGAGGAACACCGGCGGCGAAGGCGGCCUGCUGGACCGCGACUGACGUUGAGGCUCGAAAGCGUGGGGAGCGAACAGGAUUAGAUACCCCGGUAAG
rnacentral:rRNA from 1 species